UUAGUUUUAAAUUCUGGUUGAGAAAAAAAAGGACAUGGCGUUCCCAGCAGCAGUUUUUAUUCUUCCUGCAGGCACUCUUUUCAUUCUCUUAGGCCUUAUUGUUAAUGCAAUG